rnacentral:tRNA from 4 species
CGGGCUAUAGCUCAGUUGGUUAGAGCGCACCCCUGAUAAGGGUGAGGUCGAUGGUUCAAGUCCAUUUAGCCCGACCA